UUCGAGGGUGUUACACAGCUGCUGCAUGGUUGUCGUCAGUUCGUGUCGUGAGGCGUCGGCUUAAGUGCCGUAACGAACGCAACCCCUGUGCUAUGUUAAAUAUCCAUAGCAGACUGCCUUGGAUUUUCCAAGGAGGAAGGAGGGGAUGACGUCAAAUCAGCAUGGCGCUUAUAUCUAGGGCUACACACAUGGCGUAAUGGGUGGGACAACGGGAUGCCAAGGCGCGAGCCGGAGCUAAUCCUUAUAAACCCAUCCUCAGUUUGGAUUGCAGGCUGCAAUUCGCCUGCAUGAAAGGGAGUUGAUAGUAAUCGCGGAUCAGCAACACCGCGGUGAAUACGUUCUCGUUUCUU
rnacentral:rRNA from 1 species